UCCCUGGUGGUUCAGUGGCUAAGACUCUGCCGUCCCAUGCAGGGGUCAUGGGUUCAAUCCCUGUUCAGGGAA
rfam:TPA: Bos taurus chromosome 6, whole genome shotgun sequence.